CACAUCACGUUGAAACACCGGUUCCCGUACGAUCACCGAAGUUAAGCAACAUUGAGUAUUGUCAGUACCAAGAGGGGUAACCGCUUGAGAAUACCAGGUAUUGUAAG